GCGGGCGUAGUUCAAUGGCAGAACACAGGCCUUCCAAGCCUGAUAUGUCGGUUCGAUUCCGAUCGCCCGCU
rnacentral:tRNA from 1 species